rnacentral:rRNA from 1 species
AGAGUUUGAUCCUGGCUCAGGAUGAACGCUAGCUACAGGCUUAACACAUGCAAGUCGAGGGGCAGCAUUGGAGUAGCAAUACUCAGAUGGCGACCGGCGCACGGGUGAGUAACACGUAUCCAACCCGCCGCUUACUCGGGGAUAGCCUUUCGAAAGAAAGAUUAAUACCCGAUGGUAUAAAGAGUUCGCAUGUUCUCUUUAUUAAAGAAUUUCGGUAAGCGAUGGGGAUGCGUUCCAUUAGAUAGUUGGCGGGGUAACGGCCCACCAAGUCUACGAUGGAUAGGGGUUCUGAGAGGAAGGUCCCCCACAUUGGAACUGAGACACGGUCCAAACUCCUACGGGAGGCAGCAGUGAGGAAUAUUGGUCAAUGGACGAGAGUCUGAACCAGCCAAGUUAGCGUGAAGGAUGACUGCCCUAUGGGUUGUAAACUUCUUUUAUAAGGGAAUAAAGUGAGGGACGUGUCCCUUUUUGUAUGUACCUUAUGAAUAAGGAUCGGCUAACUCCGUGCCAGCCGCAGC